rnacentral:lncRNA from 1 species
CGUAUGUCACGCAACCAAACAACUGUCAUGGAAACCGUCCCCAGAAUGCCUUUCUAACUUGCACGAAGAGCAAGCAAAGAGCGCGCUCCUUGAAGCAAGUUCGUUCAUUGUUUACCAAUGCCUCUACAUGAGAAGGUCUUAUACUUCAAUCUAGACCAUUCUCCUGUACGUAACUCUGACAAAUCUUCCAAAUAUCAAAUUCAUUUCAAACCGUAUUUUGGGGACAGAUCAAUGCACAUGGCGAAGCCGAGUAUGUUGAGGGUCGACAGUUUGGAGUAUCUUAAAUCGGAUAUGACAGAGAACAGCACCGCUAAAAUGGUCCGAAAACAAUCCCGGAUCAAGACUUUAGUCAUGGGUAAUAUAAAAGAAGAGCCUCUCCUGAUCAAAGGUCGCCAGGAUCUUGUCAUCGGUAUCCAUGAACUUGGCAGACAGCUUGAAUGGUUGCGUAGCAACAAGAGAGCGCGAAAUGAAGCUCGAAAACUUUACAGACUACGCACCUUUUCCUCCAAAAUGGACACUGCAGAAAACUUCUGCCUCAGAUCAGCAGUGAUGCUUGUACUACUCUUUGCCAUUAUUUAUGUGAUCAGAGCCAUAUCUAUAUUCCUUCUUCCCGAACUGUUUCUCGAAUGUUCUGCCUCUCAUCCGAGUAUGCAUUUAUCGAAUUACAGUGCCUGGCCUUCGAGCAGUGCUGAUGCGUCUAUAUCUGGGUUACGUCUUCGAUGGAUGCUGUUUAGAGGUCGCCAUCCAUGUGUGCCUAUUUACAUGGAGUGUUUUACAUUACAUGAUUCGAUAACAUUACCAUACCAGGGUCAGUACUGAUUUUGAUUGAAAUGUCUCGAUGGAAACGUUUGAAUAUUUUACCGCAAUCCAGACUCUUUCCUUGAUUGUCGAUUUCUAUCCAUAUCUAUAUAUUGAUAUUUGACUGAAAUGAUCGCUGGAUGCAUGUUGUCGAAAUUGAUGAUUAAACUGAACACUCUCACCAAAAUCAAUACGGCGUCAACUAAUAAGUGUGCUAUCACUUUACACUUUCCAUUGUUCAACCAUGAGAAGGGAGGAGUCUUUUGGAAGAUGCCGUUUUUAAUAAUGCAGUAUACAGACCGAGCACCAGAAGCGCUCUUCGAAGUUAAUGUUUUCAACUGAUCUAUAUUUGGCUAUAAUAUGCCUAUAUCAUGCUCUUUGCUUGAUAUUUUUGUAUAAGUAGUUUAAUAUGGAUGAUUAUAUGUGCUGAUUCAGUUAUUUCCCCUCUCUCCGUUUGUCAUCUCCCUCACCUCCCCUCCCCCUCUUCCUCUCCCUCUCUUUGCCUCUCAUAUUCCUUCUUACUCUUUCUCAGUUUCUCCCACACACCUCUCUCCUUUUUCUAUCUAUUUUUAUACGCGAAGAUGCUUUCAAUUUUAAAACUCAUUUUAGAAUUUUAUACUUUAAAAAGAAAUUGAGUGAGCUCAUUCAAAAAGAAUUUUACAGCAAGAAAUCAAUAUCUUUUAAAUCUUUUUCAACUGAAUUAGCAAACUGAUUUUUGACUGAAAUGGAAAAGUGCCUUAUUGUCUUAAGCACUUUUAAAAAUAAUUUUCUGACAAUUUUAAUACAAGUAUGAAAGACGGGUCAAACAUUUGGGAUACAUAAAAACUUAAUAAGUGAAAUUAGAAUGUGAAACCUUUGUGAAACUCGACUGAAUUCUUGAUUUGAAGAAUUUAUUGAAAUGACAAUUAAAUAUAUAUAUGGGUAACUCUUUGUAAUUUAUUCAAAAUAAUGUAGGUAUGAAAAACGGGUCUAACAUUUAGCAUAUACAUGCACCUAAUUUAUUAUCAGUGUGCAAUUUGAAUCAUUAUGUAUCGGGCUGUGGGGGGGGGGGGGUGGCAUUCGAGACCGUGUUCAUCCCAUUAUACCUUCUUAACGAACACAGGAGACUUUUCUGGGUGAUUUUAAAGGUUUUUGGCUUUACUUCGUAUUACAUGUGUAUUUAUUUGUGUCAAGUAAUAAUAAUGUUGAAUUUAUAUUACGACAAUAAGUUAUCAAUGAUUGCCUUUUGAUGAUUUAUUGCAUUGCGUUUGUACUUUAUUUUUCUGUGUCAACAUUGACUUACUAUUUAUUAAUUCUAAAUUAUUUAUAUAGUAGACCACUGUUACGCAGAUAUAAUUAUUACAAUGCAUCGAAUGUCUUCGUGAUAAUGCUCAAAUGCAAAUUAUUACACUAAAAUAAUUGCCAGAUAAAGUGUUGCCAAUUUUUGCUUUAAAAUUAAACACCAUGUUUCUUGGAUAAAAAUUUUCCAAAUAUUCGGUAGCAUUUUAUAAAACGAACAUGCAUGUCUCAUUUCAACCCAUGACUGUUUGAUAUAUUAGUAUGUUUAGAGUCAGAAUUGCAUUAACUCUAGGAUAUAUGAAUUAACGCCCUUCUGGCUCCAAACAGAAGAAAUUCCCUUUUUUUAGAGUGUAUAAUUAUAUAAUGCAAUAUAAAAAUCGCCAUAUUUUCUGCAAUAAAACUCAAAAUAUCAGUAAA